rnacentral:tRNA from 1 species
GGCAGCUCAAUUGGUUAGAGCAACAGACUCAUAUCUGGAGGUCCCUGGCUCAAUCCCAGGCUGAGCCA